rnacentral:lncRNA from 1 species
UUUUUUUUAUUAACAAUAGUGUAUAAAAAUAUAUAAUCACAUGAACAAUUAAAAGAGAUCAUUAUUAUCACAGUAAUAUUAACUUUAUAAAAGAUCUACUGCUUUUAGUUUUUCAAUUUUUAUUUCUCAUCUUUUUUUCAUUGAGUCAAUUUUAAUUUCAAAAACAUAAAUGGUCUUUCCUAAGGUGGUACCUAACACUACAGGGAGAUAACUCUGUAAAAUAAGCUAAACGUUUUGAUUAUGUUGUUUUGUUUAGGGAAUAUCGAGCUUCUCAAUGAUGAAAAUUGUUUGGCAAACUGCUAUAUAACUAGUGUAAUUUUUCUGAUAAAAUGGUUGGUUCAAAUUUUUUGAAAUUUUUAUAUUUUUGUCAAAGUUACAAAGUAAAUACUUUGUCAAAGUUUUAUGGAAAUUAAACAAGCCAAAUUAAUUUGAGUGAAGGUGUUGGGUACCACCUUAAACAUUUUUUUUUAUAUGAAGCAGGUUUGUUUCAAUUUAGGAGGUUAGAGUACAUUUUAACAUCAAGUGAUUUUUUUUUAAUAUUCACCUGAUCAAUAUUGAUUUCAAUUUCUUCAACAAAAACUGGAAUUCAGGAAAAAAUGCAUAUAUGUAAAUUCAAAAUUUUAAUCCCAAUAACCAAAAUAAUAACUUAAAUACUUUACAGUACAGAACAACUUUGUUUUCAGUAGAAUGGGAAAUUCUGUUUCAAUUUCAUUUAACUCUUACCUACUACCAUUAUAUUGACUUUCUGCUAAUCAUCUCCACACAAAAACUCAAAAAUUCAUGCUGUUUUGUAAAAAGCAAUUUCUUUUUUAAGUAAUUGUGUUUGUCAUCUGAGAUACUGUUUGAAUGUUCAAUGAAAACAAAGUUGCACUGUGUUAAAUUUAUCAAAAACCUUGGCCCAUUGUGCACUUCAAACAUUAACAAAAACAGAUUAUUUGGUGCAUUCAAAGAGUUUAUACUUAUAUUCAUUUAAUUUACAUGUUUGAACUUUUGUGCAAAAUUGUAAGUGAUAAAUUUGUAUAUUACACAACUCUUGAUCUCUAUAUAUCGUGUAAUAAUUGAUCAGUAGUAGAUGCUUGUCUUUUGACUCUAAAUCUUAAUCAAUAUUAUUAAAAAAAAACAUAUUUGUGAAUAAGUGACCGUUUGUUUAAUGAAAAUCAAGAUUAAAUUAAUCACAAUCAUACUUAAACAUCUAUUAAUGCUGAGACCUGAUACAUUUUUCUUAUUUCAAAAUCAUCUCUUUCAACAAUUAGCACUAGCUUUAAAUAAUCAUCACAAGGCAAGAUAUUUGGAAGACAUCAUUAAAAUUUUGCCUGGGAAAUUAAAUAAACAGAAAAAGAUAAAAAAAAACUAUAACUCCUUGUUUAAAGAUCAUGUUUAAACUUUAACAACUAGUAUUAUGCAUUUUUUUAAAUAGAAGUACUUUUAGAAUUUUCAAUGAAAAAAAAUACAUCACAAAUUCGUUAAUUAUUAUUCAAGAAAUAUUUGUAAACAGAGAUAUACAAGCAGGUUAACCUGAUAAUAAAAAAUGCUUAUGGGGAGAUAACUCUGAUGAUACCAAUGCCUUAGAAGACAUAACUUAUUUUCUCCUAUUGUCAAUUAUUUUGUAUUUGGUAUAAUUAGUUUUGAGCAAAUAUGAUUUUCUAAUAUCAAAAUAUAUGAUCAAAAUAAAUAAAUCCAUUCAAAUUAAAGUAAAUAAUCACAAUAUUUAUUGGACAGUAACUUUAAUAUAUUGUUAAAUUAAAAUUAAACUCACCAAAUCAACACCAAACUGAUGAUUCCUAGAUAAAUUAUCUUUUGAAAUUUGUAGAUUAGAAUACAUAACGUUUGUCGUUUAAAAUGAGAGGAAGUAUUUUGGUUUCCAAAACUCACAAUUCAACAAUUCUAGCCAAUUCAAUGCAUUACAAUAGGGGAAGCACAGUUUACACUCUUUCAUAUUUUGAUUAAAAACAAUAUUUUCAUGUAUUUUUCCUGAUACAUUUUCAUCAAAAACUAACUUUUUAAUAAUUAUUAUUUAUAACAUAUUUGUCAAAACUUAUCUUCGUCCCUGAACAUCUGAACUUCAAUAAUAAUAAAAAUAACAAAAUAACAACAAAAUAAUUUGCAUCAAUAAAAAAACUUAUAUUAAACAUUUACAACAUUUAGAAUAAUAACAAACACAAUAACCUGUCCAUCUACUCAACCACGUCACUGAAUUAUAUAAUCCUGGUACCUUUGAUAACUAUUUACAUCACUGUGUCGAUGCCACUGCUGGUGGACGUUUCGUCCCAGAGGGUAUCACCAGUCCAGUAGUCAACAUUUCCGUGUUGACAUGAAUAUCAAUAAUGCAGUCAUUUUUAUAAAUUUCCUGUUUA